rnacentral:piRNA from 1 species
UCUUGCUUAACCUAACUCACCCAAGGCUC